rnacentral:rRNA from 1 species
UUCUGUCAUCAUACCACCUUGAACGUGCCUGAUCUCAUCUGAGCUCAAAAGCUAAGCAGGGUCAGGCCUGGUUAGUGCUUGAAUAGGAGAAGUGAAAGAAU